rnacentral:rRNA from 1 species
UACGUAUGGAGCAAGCGUUAUCCGGAUUUACUGGGUGUAAAGGGAGCGUAGGCGGCCUAAUAAGUCUGAUGUGAAAACCCAUGGCUCAACCGUGGGAUUGCAUUGGAAACUGUAAGGCUAGAGUGUCGGAGGGGCAAGUGGAAUUCCUAGUGUAGCGGUGAAAUGCAUAGAUAUUAGGAGGAACACCAGUGGCGAAGGCGGCUUGCUGGACGAUUACUGACGCUGAGACUCGAAAGCGUGGGGAGCAAAC